rnacentral:rRNA from 1 species
GUAGCCCUGGUGAAAGUCAGUAGGCUGAGAUCUCAGGUAAAUCCGGGAUCUUAAGGCCGAGAGACGAGACGAAGACACCCCGGUGUUGAAGUCACUGAUGCCACGCUUCCAAGAAAAGCCUCUAAGCGACAGAUCAUGUGCGACCGUACCCCAAACCGACACAGGUGGUCAGGGUGAGAAUCCCCAGGCGCUUGAGAGAACUCGGGUGAAGGAACUAGGCAAAAUGGUGCCGUAACUUCGGGAGAAGGCACGCCGC